rnacentral:rRNA from 1 species
GUGCCAGCAGCCGCGGUAAUACGUAGGUGGCAAGCGUUGUCCGGAAUUAUUGGGUGUAAAGCGCGCGCAGGCGGUGCUUUAAGUCUGAUGUGAAAGCCCACGGCUCAACCGUGGAGGGUCAUUGGAAACUGGGGGACUUGAGAGCAGAAGAGAAGAGUGGAAUUCCUCGUGUAGCGGUGAAAUGCGUAGAGAUGUGGAGGAACACCAGUGGCGAAGGCGACUCUUUGGUCUGUAACUGACGCUGAGGCGCGAAAGCGUGGGGAGCAAACAGGAUUAGAAACCCCUGUAGUCC